rnacentral:rRNA from 1 species
AGACCCGAAACCCGGUGAUCUAGCCAUGGGCAGGUUGAAGGUUGGGUAACACUAACUGGAGGACCGAACCGACUAAUGUUGAAAAAUUAGCGGAUGACCUGUGGCUGGGGGUGAAAGGCCAAUCAAACCGGGAGAUAGCUGGUUCUCCCCGAAAGCUAUUUAGGUAGCGCCUCGUGAACUCAUCUCCGGGGGUAGAGCACUGUUUCGGCUAGGGGGCCAUCCCGGCUUACCAACCCGAUGCAAACUGCGAAUACCGGAGAAUGUUAUCACGGGAGACACACGGCGGGUGCUAACGUCCGUCGUGAAGAGGGAAACAACCCAGACCGCCAGCUAAGGUCCCAAAGUCAUGGUUAAGUGGGAAACGAUGUGGGAAGGCCCAGACAGCCAGGAUGUUGGCUUAGAAGCAGCCAUCAUUUAAAGAAAGCGUAAUAGCUCACUGGUC